rnacentral:rRNA from 1 species
UACGGGAGGCAGCAGUGGGGAAUAUUGCACAAUGGGCGCAAGCCUGAUGCAGCCAUGCCGCGUGUAUGAAGAAGGCCUUCGGGUUGUAAAGUACUUUCAGUCGUGAGGAAGGUGUUAAGGUUAAUAACCUUAGCAAUUGACGUUAGCGACAGAAGAAGCACCGGCUAACUCCGUGCCAGCAGCCGCGGUAAUACGGAGGGUGCGAGCGUUAAUCGGAAUUACUGGGCGUAAAGGGCACGCAGGCGGUUAAUUAAGUUGGAUGUGAAAUCCCCGGGCUUAACCUGGGAAUGGCAUUCAAGACUGGUUAGCUAGAGUCUUGUAGAGGGGGUAGAAUUCCAUGUGUAGCGGUGAAAUGCGUAGAGAUGUGGAGGAAUACCGGGUGGCGAAGGCGGCCCCUGGGACAAAGGCUGACGCUCAUGUGCGAAAGCGUGGGGAGCGAAACAGGGAUUAGAU